rnacentral:SRP_RNA from 2 species
GCCGGGCGUGGUGGCGCAUGCCUGUAAUCCCAGCUACUCGGAAGGCUGAGGCAGGAGAAUUGCUUGAGCCCAGGGAACGAAGGUUGCAGUGAGCAGAGAUCAUGCCACUGCACUCAAACCUGGGCAACAGGGUGAGACUCUGUCUCAA